rnacentral:rRNA from 1 species
GGAAUCUUCGGCAAUGGGGGCAACCCUGACCGAGCAACGCCGCGUGAGUGAAGAAGGUUUUCGGAUCGUAAAGCUCUGUUGUAAGAGAAGAACGUGUGUGAGAGUGGAAAGUUCACACAGUGACGGUAACUUACCAGAAAGGGACGGCUAACUACGUGCCAU